rnacentral:lncRNA from 1 species
AUGGUGUCAGUUGCACCAGUGAAAGAGAGGAAAGUCAUGGAUGCCUAACUUGGGGAGCUGCCAAGCUGGCUAUUGAUGUGGGGUUUCACCCUGAAAGGCAUGAUUGGAGCAUUUCAAAGAAGUUACUACCCGCAUUAGAACAAGUGCCUCACAGGAAGGAAGGGAGCAUUGCAGGGGUUUCUAUAGCUGGCAGCUUACAGCUUUUCCUCUAUGUUCUUUCUUACAAAGAGCUCAACUGUGAGCAACUCUGCAAGCAUCA